rnacentral:rRNA from 1 species
CCUACGGGUGGCAGCAGUGAGGAAUAUUGGUCAAUGGACGAGAGUCUGAACCAGCCAAGUAGCGUUAAGGAUGACUGCCCUACGGGUUGUAAACUUCUUUUAUAUGGGAAUAAAUUGUUCCACGUGUGGGAUUUUGUAUGUACCAUAUGAAUAAGGAUUGGCUUACUUCGGGCCAGCAGCCGCGGUAAUAAGGAGGAACCGAGCGUUAAUCGGAUUUAUUGGGGUUAAAGGGAGGGUUGGUGGGUUUUUAAAGCCAUUGGGAAAGAUUGCGGCUCAAACGUAAGAUUGCAGUUGAAACUGGCAGUCGUGAGUACAGUAGAGGUGGGCGGAAUGCGUGGUGUAGCGGUGAAAUGCUUAGAUAUCACGAAGAACUCCGAUUGCGAAGGCAGCUCACUGGAGUGCAACUGACACUGAGGCUCGAAAGUGUGGGUAUCGAACAGGAUUAGAUACCCCAGUAGUC